rnacentral:rRNA from 1 species
AUGGCAAAGUUUUGGUGGAGUGCUUCCCUCGAUCGCAGAUCGUUGCAUUGGGUGGCAUGGGAAAAACUCGCAUCUCCAAAGGCCCAUGGUGGCAUGGGUUUUCGUGAUCUUGAAUUGUUCAAUUUGGCACUGUUAGGUAAACACGGAUGGAGGUUCAUUACUAAUCCCAACUCUCUGUGUGCAAGGGUCAUGAAAGGGCGCUAUUUUCCAGAUUGUGAGUUUAUGGAAGCUUUUGUUCCACAAUCUGCUUCAGCGAUAUGGCAAGCUAUUGUGGCAGACAGGGAGGCGCUUACAGCAUGUUUGAUUAAAAGAGUGGGCGAUGGCACUACCAUCUCUAUAUGGGAGGACCGCUGGAUCCCGGGUCUGUCCACUUUGUCCCCCGCGGUCGUACUAGGGGGUACAACACUGGGUACUAUCAAUCAACUUAUUGACUCAGAAAAUUGGACAUGGCAGCAAGAGUUGAUCAGGAAAAAUUUAUCCCACCAGAAGCCAAAGCCAUCCUAA